UAAUACCUUAUAGAUUACAGAUGCUGGAAUGCUCUGUAAUCAAAAGUUCCGGCGCCGUAGGAUGGAUCUGCGGCCGAGUAGGUUGUUGUUGGGAUAAUGGCCCUACAAGCCAGUAAUCGGUACGGUUUAUGGGAGCAAGAGCCCGGAGGUGGAUUCUGAGACACGAAUGCAGGCCCUACGGGGAGCAGCAGGCGCGAAAACUCUACAAUGCGGGCAACCGUGAUAAGGGAACCUCGAGUGCCUGUAAAUGCAGACUGUUCAGAUGCCUUAGACACAUCUGGAGAAAGGGCCGGGCAAGACCGGUGCCAGCCGCCGCGGUAAUACCGGCGGCUCGAGUGGUGGCCACUUUUAUUGGGCUUAAAGCGUUUGUAGCUGGGUUGUUAAGUCUCUUGGGAAAUCUGGCGGCUUAACCGUCAGGCGUCUAAGGGAUACUGGCAAUCUUGGAACCGGGAGAGGUGAGGGGUACUUUCGGGGGUAGGAGUGAAAUCCUGUAAUCCUCGAGGGACCACCUGUGGCGAAGGCGCUUCACCAGAACGGCUUCGACAGUGAGGGACGAAAGCUGGGGGAGCAAACCGGAUUAGAUACCCGGGUAGUCCCAGCCGUAAACUAUGCGCGUUAGGUGAU
rnacentral:rRNA from 1 species